UGUCCGAGCAGUUGAUGAGACUAAAAGGCUAAAUUGUGCAGGAAUAAUCUGCUAUUCUCUCGAAUGCGCGAGGCAAGAAGUUGGUGUCACAUAUAAAAGCCACAGACAAAUGAACUCGUCGCUAUUAUUUCUUUAAAGGAUGGUCUAAAGUUAUAGCGUGUAAUUACGCUGCAUCUGCAGAGAUAGAGCGAAACGUGAUUUCCGAGAGGGGAGAGAGACUCACUGCAGAGGCGUAAGAAUUUCUUUUUGUUUCCCCAUUUGGUGGUGAAUGACGUCACUGUGCUGAGUCACGCGGGCGCGCUCCCGCGGCCCUGGUCACGGCAUCCUGUACUUAAUAAAGUGGGCACUUAGUGUAUGUUCAUGGUCUUCUGCUGCUGUAGCCCAUCCACUUCAAGAUGCUGCCUGACCUGAAUCUUUCCAGCAUUUUCUGUGUUUAUUUCAGAUUUCCUACAUCUGCAGUUUCCUUUUUGAUUUUCAGUGUUUCACCACAAUCCUGAUGAGUGGCUCAUAAACGGCAGCUAGGAGGCGGAAACUGGAGCACCCGGAGGAAGCUCACAGUGUCAUGGAGAGAAUGUACAAACUCCUUACAGACAAUGGCAGGAAUUGAACCCAGGUCGCUGUCAUGCUGCAGAUCUUUUCUUUGCAGGAGAUUGUGCAAAGAAGUUUAAACUGCAAGAAGAAGUGUCCCAUAGUUGUCCAAGUUUGAGCAUCAAAGAAGAACUCGGCUUUACUAUCAACACAGAAAUCUUGAGCAACACACACAAAGUGCCGGAGGAACUCAACGACUCAGGCAGCAACUAUGGAGGGGAAUAAGUAGUCAACAUCCUGAUGAAGGUUGUCGGUCCAAAACAUUGACUGUUCGUUCCACUCUACAGAUCUUGUGUGGGAUACAGGUUAUUGAUCCUGCUGACUUGACUCCCUUUAAACCCCAUACCUUUUCCAGUAUGUUAUCCCUCAUAAUAGAGAUUGCUCUAAGUUCUUUGUUGUUUGAAACUAGCACAUCUGCUAUCCUAGAGAUAUUGGCAGCAUUGUUCUGCUGUUAAGACUGAUGUAGAAGUAUUGGUGUAAAUUAUCUGCCAUUUUCCUGAUUCCCGUUAUUAAUUUCAUUGUCUCACCAUCUAGGGGGUUCCACAUAUACCUUAGCUAUCCUUUUUUAUAUAUGUUUGGUCUAGUAAUUUAACCACUUGCUGCAGUUAUUGUCUAGCAUAAAGUGGAGCCUUUUCCAACCCUAUAAUUUAUAUUCUUGUAAUUAGUAUUUUACUACGUAUAAUUAACAGAACAAACAAGAGCCCCAUCUCUGUGCAACCCCCUCCUCAUUCCACUGGUCUUGUAGAGUUUUACUAUGGCAAAUACAUCAUUGGCUGUAUCGGAAUAAAUGAUGGGACAUUGGAAUCUGUAACAUGAAAAUCCCAACAAUUAUAGUAAUUGGUCACCCCUUUCAUUUUGUAGCUGUCUCACUGGAAGCAUUGAAAGAGGACCAGCAAAAAUGAAUGUGACUUUAAACUUUCAGUAUUACAGUUAUAUAUUUAAACAUUUAUUCAAGUUAUAUACCCUUUAUCCGAAAUGGUUGGGGUAGAGUGUUUCGGAUUUUGGAUUUUUUCAGAUUUUGGACUAUAUCAUGAGAUAGCUUAGGAUCACCAUCAUUUCCAACUUUGAAUUUAGGUGCUACUGGUAAGCAAUCUUUGUCCUACACUUGUUCAUCACACGUAUGUGAUAGAUUUUCAUCAUCAACAGUUGUAGCAAACUCAUCAAUGACUUUCUGCUGCUUUGUGAUCAACUGAGGCUUUUAACAUCAUAAAUCUUUAAAAUGUAAUUCCAUGCCUUUUCUUAAAUUUCUGCAACCAGCCUGCUGAAUAUUCACAAUUAUCUUCAAUUUUCAGUUUGUCGUGAUAGAUCUUCGUUUCAUGAUCAACAUGCUGUUAAGUGGCAUAUGUUCACUCUGACGCUGACGAAUCCAGUCUUUCAACUCACAAUCGAAAUCUUAAUUUUUCACUUCCCGCAGUGUUUUUCUAUUUUUCAUUAACUCUUGUUCAUUACAAAUGUGAGGUCACUUCUCAGAACUACCUAUGGUGCGCAAAAAACUGCGCGUCAUGUGGAAACUUUGCCAAUGCCUUGUGGAAUUUUCCAAUUGUGAUAUCGUGUCAGCGCUCAAAAAAAAAUUGGAUUUUGCAGGUUUUGGAUUUUAGGAUUUCAGAUAAGUGGCACUCAACCUGUAUUAAUUUAUCUAUGUUUCGUGAACUACAUUUGUGUUUAGA